rnacentral:rRNA from 1 species
AGCGAACGCUGGCGGCAGGCCUAACACAUGCAAGUCGAACGAAGUCUUCGGACUUAGUGGCGGACGGGUGAGUAACACGUGGGAACGUGCCUUUAGGUUCGGAAUAACUCAGGGAAACUUGUGCUAAUACCGAAUGUGCCCUUCGGGGGAAAGAUUUAUCGCCUUUAGAGCGGCCCGCGUCUGAUUAGCUAGUUGGUGAGGUAAAGGCUCACCAAGGCUACGAUCAGUAGCUGGUCUGAGAGGACGACCAGCCACAUUGGGACUGAGACACGGCCCAAACUCCUACGGGAGGCAGCAGUGGGGAAUCUUGCGCAAUGGGCGAAAGCCUGACGCAGCCAUGCCGCGUGGAUGAUGACGGUCUUAGGAUUGUAAAAUCCUUUCACCGGUGAAGAUAAUGACUGUAGCCGGAGAAGAAGCCCCGGCUAACUUCGUGCCAGCCGCCGCCGUAAGAC